UUGGCAACCACUGGAGGUGGAGAGAACAUGUCAGGGUGAUUUCCAGGGCUUCCAAACCUCCUGGCUCCGGGAAGGGUGUGAGCACUGGCUGCUGCCUCAUCUGUCACAGUGCUUUUAGAUAGCUAUGCGAUGCUGAAACUGAUAAGAUAAUUAAGGUGCUAAAGGCAGGCAGCUUAUGAGGAUAAACCUGGCAGCUGCUCUCUGAAGUGGCUUUGGCUGAAAGCUGUGUCCUGGUGAGGUGAGCUGUGCAUGCCAUGCUUCAGACCCACGUUUUGGCACACAGAAGAGUAUCAGAGUGAUUCACUGGAUCACAGGCUUUUUCGGUUGGAGCUAAUCAAAUAAUCACGUCCCUGUCUGCAAAUAACUAUAGUUGUACCCAAAUCUGCGUUUUUGCCAAAAAGAUUAUUCAACUGAAAAAAUCUUAUCCUGUGCUGCAUGAGGCAGACCAGCUUACUAUCACCUCUUGAGCAAGUGAGACACGCAGGAAGAAAAAGCUUCCUCAAGAUAAGAGCAGGAUCGUAUACUGUACGUGCAUUCAGUGGAUCAAAACAUGAAGCUUUGCUGACAGCAUUUCCUUCUCCAUCCACAACGCUGGUAUCCUCUGCCUUGUAUUUCCAAGGUGUGUUCUCAACUCUGACAUUCAGGUUAUCAAGAGGCUAACACUAGCUUAUUAUCAUGCCAUUUUUCUGACUGCAAGGGGAUUUACACACAGACUGAAGAACUGCAGAAUAGAUAGAGGCAAGGGAAUUACUGUAAAAAAUAAUCCAGCCUCAUUUUUCCUCAUUUGACUCUUCAGUCACUUAUUUGUUUUCUUGGUUAGUAUCCAAAUUUAUUCUUGAGCUUGGUUUGGCAACUCAGCUUCUUC
rnacentral:lncRNA from 1 species